AAUAGUAACAACCCCAACCCUUGCUAUUAUCCCUUUGCAAGGAAAUAUCCAUUUCUUUUUUUUGGAACACGAAAACAGGUGGUGCAUGGUUGUUGUCAGCUCUUGUCUUGAGAUGUUGGGUUAAGUCCCCCAACAAGCGCAACCCCUUUCUCUUGUUACCAGCAGUUUAGGCUGGGCACUCUGGGGAGACUGCCGGGGAAAACCGGGAGGAAGGGGGGGAGGACGUCAAUUCAUCAUGCCCCUUAUGACUUGGGCUACACACGUGUUCCAAUGGUGUUAACAAAGGGAAGCGAAGGCGCGAUCCGGAGCAAAUCCCAAAAACAAAGUCCCAGUUCGGAUUGCAGUCUGCAACUCGCCUGCAUGAAGCCGGAAUCGCUAGUAAUCGCGGAUCAGCAUGCGCGACGCC
rnacentral:rRNA from 1 species